AUGCAACUUAAUUUCAAGCUCCUUCACGCUUUCAUGUGCGGCAUGCGGCAAAUUCAUGUCUUGCCAAGAGCAGUACCCAACAACAGUCGGUUGUUUGGAGGAGGAUCACGUUGGCAUUCUUCGUCGUCCAAGCCACCCCGCCCUCGCCGCAUCCUCACGAACGUGCUCUUUGCUGCGUCCUUCUCCGCUGCUGGCCUUCUCAUCGAUGACACAUCAUCGGAGGAUAAGCAGAAAUCGCCGCCCAUGGGCCCAAUCGAUAGUGGAAGCAACAAGAAGAAGACUCACAAGAGGGACUGCACCAACGCUCUUCUCGCCAUCAAUGUCAUGGUUUACGUCGUGGAUGUAGCGGCAAGAGGGAGGCUUUCUCUAUGCGGAGCUAUGGUAAAUAGUCUCGCUUUGCAUGAUAUUGGGCCUAUGGUGGAAGAGGUCACUGGCCCUGCAAGAUUUCUAACUAUUUAUUUCACUUCGGCACUGGCAGGUUCACUCAUGAGUUACUGUGCUGGCAUCAAAUCUUCUGUUGGUGCGUCCGCUGCUAUUUGUGGAUUGAUUGGUGCACAAGCUGUUUAUAUGUGGAGGCAUCGAAACCAUUUGGAGAAAGCAAAUAUAACUUUAGGGCGAAUUGCAUUUGAUGUUGUAAUCAAUGUGGGCGUUGGCCUCUAUGUAAUGAAACGCAUAGACAACUGGGGUCAUUUAGGAGGCUUGCUUGCGGGAGUGGUUGUUGAAUGUUUUGUCGGUCCACAUUGGAAGAAGCUAGGUGUUACAGAGGAUAGAACGAAGGUGAUCCAAGACACGGCACCUCUUGCUCGGCUAACCAAUGGUGGUAUAAGACCACAAAAAACAGUCUUUACUGAGACAGAAGAAGGGUUGUUCGCAAAGUGA
rnacentral:rRNA from 1 species